GGGGGGGGGGGCGGGGAGAGCCACAAAUGCCCCAGGCGGUCUGGCCCAUUGGUUGGGAGCACUUGGCCAGAGUCGGGAUACUUCGGUGAAGGAAGGGCAAAUCCACCCAGCUCCCCUGAGCCAGAGCCUCCUUCCUACCCUGAGAAAAGACAGGGAUUCUCCCAGUUUGAUCGCAAUGAUGUUUAAAGCAUCAAAGAACGAAAAAGAAAAAUGGACGUUGUGCGUCUGGCUGAGGGGAAGGGCCGAAGGGAGGCCUUGGGGACAGUGGAGGUGGGGUGUGUGUGUGUGUGUGUGUGUGUGUGUGUGUAGAAAUAUCAGAAUAUGCGCUUGUGUUCUCCACGAAGUACGGGGAGCGUUUUAGGCCCAGAGAUCUAUGUGCUGUGGGGGGUCCAUUGGUGUGGGAAACCCGUCGAACCCUACGGAGAGGUUUGCGGUGUCCUCUCAGUUGGCGGGGGCAGCUAAAUCUCCCUGAAAAUUCCCGGGUUCUGUCGGACAAGGGCGCAUUUCUGAGCGGUGGGGCGUGGGAGGGCUUUUCCCUUUACUGCGGCUGGGAGCAGACAGCUCUCGCUUCUCCUUUGCCCUUUAGUCUAAUAACUUCGCAGAAAUGCAGGACCAAUAAACCACGAGUUGGAAAUGGACAGUGUUAAAUAAACAAGGGUCUCUUUAAAAUUCCCAUCCACUUCAGAUGUCUAAAGUAAGAUUGUGAUGAUUUUGUCACGGUUUGGUAAAUUUACCCCUUUAAGAGGCUUUCAUAAAUCCCAGAACACACCUUCAGCCAGAUUUGAAUAUAGAUUUAGGUUUUAAAACCCAGAAGCUGGAAACGCCGCUUUAUCAAAGAGAAUUUCCCUUUAGCUUAGCAAUGUGCUGAAGCUCUUAAAAGAUUGGAUCUGAGAGAGAGAGAGACAGAGAGAGAGAGAGACAGAGAGAGACAGAGAGGAGAAAGAGAACUAGAGACACAGGCAGACGGGGGGGAAAAAGACUUUCUUUUUCUUUCUAGAGGAAUUCUGCCCAGACUCUGCAGCAGUUGGUAGCAAGAAAGCUUUCUCCUGGGUGUCUCCUGGAAAAGUUGCAAAAUUGCUCUUCACCUGUAAGAACAUGCUCUUUAUCUUCCAGUCUCUUCUUGUCAAUUUGGAAAUUGCAGACAGCCCGGCUCAGACACAGGAAACAAGAUAACGAAGGAGCUUGCUUAUCUCAGAGCCGAUGUUCUGCUCAAGAAACGUCACCAAAAGAAAAGAAAAAAAAGGAAGAAAGAAAAUGAAGAGAGGAGGCCGAAACCCAGGACCAACCUUCUUUCACAGGAGAAUGAAAAGAUGUCUGGACUUAAGCUGUUUACCAACUGGGCCAAAGCUGCAGAGCGGCAAAACUGAAGAAAAGCCCCAAGCAACUGCGGGAACAAGCUUUUACAAUGCGAGCGGCCAUUUUCAAAAAGAAGACUCGUGCUCUGAGAGAAGACCCCCAGUGGAGACAGACUCACCUCGGGCUCUGGCUCCAAUUAUUGAACUUCCCACACCACCGGUGCUUGAGUGUUCUUGGCGACGGCCAAGUUGAUCCGGCUGGGCCACAGGAAGCUAUUGGGAGGUCUUGAGGAAGGGAGUGACGUCACUUGAUUUACAUUUUUGAGAGCUCACUCUACUGCAGUGUGGAGAAGAUUGUUGGAAGGCAAGAGAAACCAGAAGAUCGACUGGGACACUGGAGAAACCCAAGCAAAAGGUGAAGAUGCUGGUAGCUGUGGAGGCAGAAGGAAGUUACCAGAUUCAGUGUGGUUUGAAGCUCCUUUGGCUUAUACAGGGGCAAAAUGUGGAUCACGAGUUAAUGGGGCCUACCAGAAAAACAGCAGAGACGGAGACUUUCUAAAAUGGAGUCUCUUCAAUGGCAAUCCAGGAGGAACCCCAUUCUUCAACCAUAACAAUGAAUCACACCUCAUUCCACUCAUAGUUCCCCAAGGCUCUGAUCCUCUGGAACAUAAUUUGAGACACACAGCUCUAUUGAGCACAGACAUUGAUUCACCAGCAAACAUUUGUGUGGAGCCUCCCGGAGCCAGGCGCUGUGCUGGUGAUGGGAAUAUAAAGGUAAGGAAGACAGGCAAGGCUCUUGUUUUUCAUGGCACUUCCUUUCUGGUGUGGGGAGACAGACAAUCAACCAGUUAGCAAGUCCACAGACAGACCCAAGGUAUCAUAUGGUCGUAAAUACUGCAAAGAAUAUAAAACAGGGUGAUGUGUUGGAAAACUUCACUGACCGGACGUUAAAUGUCCUAUUCAGAAGCCGAUUCCAAAUUAGCUAUAAAUCAUCUAAAAACAAUGAAAUAUGACAUUCACCAAAAAGAAGUUCACCUUCUACUACCUUUGCUUUUCCUGCCUCUGACUGUCAUAUUGGUUGGUUCUACUCCAUUAUUUACUUUUAAUAAGCUUGGGAGCUUGGGGGAUAUAAAUCUGGUAAUCACUCAGGUAAUUCACACCUUAUCUUUAUGUUCAAAAAAGAAGAUACCUAUAACUUUUGCAAAAGAAAUUCAUCUAGAUUGGUGCUUGUUGCAAAUUGAACCCCGGGUUUUCAACGAAUAAAGAACAAAUCUGAAAAAACAGAGAAGAAAAACUAUGGAUAUAUCAGACAGCUUUGCGUAACGCCUGUCAUUGUCUUCUCGAGCCCAGUCAAGAUUGGGAGCCAUGUGGGUUAAUAUUUCCACCAACUUCUCUGUCGUAUGUUUGCCAAGUAUCGCCUCUACUCGGGAUACAACACUGAUUUGCAGAGCGUGCAGUUGUGUGAACCCAGGAGGAAGGCAGUGUGAUUCACACAACUUCCCUUCUCUCGACAGGAAAUACAGCAAAGCAUGUCCUGUGUUCCCAUAAAGUUCACCGUCCUAUACGUUCUAUACCUAAAUCGAUUACUGACUAGGAGAAAAGUCAAUGUAUGACAAGAGAUAUUUUCUUUUCACUGAGUAAAAGUUCCAAUGAGUGAAGUGAGUAAUGUUGUUAUAAUCGUCCACAUAAAAGGAGAUAAAGCAGUUGGAGAGAGAGAAAUGCAAACUGUUCCAAGGUCUGAUCUUGACAGUAAAGACUUAAUCAUUUUCAAGCCUUCUUGAUUUUCCUGCCUCUUGCCUACACACUUCUGCCAAUGUUUCAUCUUUAAGAUCUAUUCACAGCCUUCAAAACAGCCUGGGGCAAAUAGCAAGGACGGCCAGAGAAUGUGGUUUUCAGUUACCCUACUAUUUGGGUGACUCCUUAGCUGGGAUAAUGCGAUUUUGAACGGAUUUUAAAUGGUAAUGGUGAUAGGGGAUGGUCAAUAUUUAUUUAUAAGCUUUCUUAGUUGGGAUGCUAUUUCAAUUUUUACAUAUCUCUCAAAUUUUAGAGAAAUACAUUUCCCAACUGAGUUUUUUUAGGUUUAGAAAAUUGACCAUUAUACAAACAUCCUUCACUGAAAUUCAUUGCCAGCAUUUAUAACAACAAUACUAAUGACGAAACUGAUAUUAACUGUGCUGAGAGCUUACCAUAUAUUACCUCAUCUAAUUCUCAUGACAAGCGAUGGAGGAAACUAAGGGUAAGGGAAGUAGAGUAGCCAGCGACUCUUUUUUUUUUAUUAUUUUUUUAAUGUUUAUUUAUUUUUGAGAGAGAGAGAGACAGAGUGUGAGCAGUCAAGGGGCAGAGAGAGA